rnacentral:rRNA from 1 species
GUGCCAGCAGCCGCGGUAAUACGUAGGUGGCAAGCGUUAUCCGGAAUUAUUGGGCGUAAAGCGCGCGUAGGCGGUUUUUUAAGUCUGAUGUGAAAGCCCACGGCUCAACCGUGGAGGGUCAUUGGAAACUGGAAAACUUGAGUGUAGAAGAGGAAAGUGGAAUUCCAUGUGUAGCGUGAAAUGCCGCAGAGAUAUGGAGGAACACCAGUGGCGAAGGCGACUUUCUGGUCUGUAACUGACGCUGAUGUGCGAAAGCGUGGGGA